rnacentral:rRNA from 1 species
UACAGAGGUCCCAAGCGUUGUUCGGAUUCACUGGGCGUAAAGGGUGCGUAGGCGGUCGGGUAAGUCUGAUGUGAAAUCUCACAGCUUAACUGUGAAACUGCAUUGGAUACUAUCCGGCUCGAGGAAUGGAGGGGAGACUGGAAUACUUGGUGUAGCAGUGAAAUGCGUAGAUAUCAAGUGGAACACCAGUGGCGAAGGCGGCUCUCUGGGACGGUACUGACGCUGAGACGCGAAAGCGUGGGGAGCGAACAGG